rnacentral:lncRNA from 1 species
CGGCUUCAUCGAAAAUAAAACCUCACCAGACGACUAAGGACUCGGACUAACACCUCUAACCAACACCUGAACAGAGAGGACAACAUCUACGACAUGGAGACCGUAAGAUUUCAUGACAGUAUUAUCAUACAAACUUGUGUUACUGUCGAGACUUUCGUGAUGGUUAAGCGAUGCAUCGACAAGGAUUAAAUGUGUGCAUGGAUAUUUACAGUGUUUAUGACUUUAAUGUGACAGGCAUUAUCAAAACUAAAAAAAUUGCAUUUCCUUGCAGAAAAUGCGUGGAAAUGCUGAGUGCUGGAAGCUGAAAAGCAAUGCUAAACUGCUAAAAAAAAAUGGAGGAAGGUUUGAAUGUAAACUUGGUUAAAGAGCUGGAGAAAGAAAAGUAGAAGUUAGAUGAAAGUGAAAAUUGCUGAAGUACAAAUAGUAUGAAUGUGCUUCAUAGAUUAAAAUUGCAUUCAUGCUGAAUAAGGCUAGAAAAACUGUCUGAAAUUGCAAAAAAAUUGGAUAAGGAAGAAAAUAACCUUAAAACACAGAAAAGUAAGAAGCGGCAUAAGUUUAAGUUGAAGUACUAGAAGAAGUAUGAUAAUAGGUAGUUGUACUAGUGAUAUUAGUAGUCAUGUAAGCAGUAGAAGUAGUUUUAGAAUAGAAGAAGUAGAAGUCAAAGCAGUAGAGCUCGUGGUAGAAGUAAAAAAAAUAGUAAGAGAAGCAAGAGCAGUGGAGGUAGAAGUGAAGAUACAAGUUAAAGUGAUAUAAGUAGUAAUUGUAGUGGUAGAACUGGGAUUUUGUUUUAAGAAUUAAAACAGACAUAAAUAAUGGGAAUGAUUUUGAAGUGGGAAAAAUUUUAAAUAAUUAGAAGUCCUUAAGUGUUAAACAGGUUUGAAGUAUCAGAAAGGUUUGAAUCAGUUUGAAUGAGUUUGGAUUUGUCUGACGAAUUUAAUAAUGCAUGAAUAAUGAGAAUAAUUUUAAAGUGGGGAAAACUUUAAUAAAAAAAAUCCUGAGUACACCCCAUAAUGUCCUCAAUGAGCUGAAUUUUUGAAGCCCAGAAUGGUUUCUGUAGCUCACAGUUUGUGGGUGGAGAUAGGUGGUGAUGCAGACACAUAUUAACUGUGUGUACAUGCAGGUCUUUUAGUCACAGACACAUGCACACACAUUGUCAGACUGCGCGUGUCUCGUUAAUGAUUGCAUCCUAAACAGCUGUGAGAUCAAAGGCAUUAACUGACCUACUGUUUGAAUGAGAAGCUGCCUCUGGACUUCUUCACAUAGCACGAUUUCUUUAUAUCCCAGAAUGAAAAUAAGAACAUCGUACGAAUCCUCCGCCCUUCAUGAACACAAUGAAUGUGGCCACAACAGCGAGUUUAAAGUCUAGAUGUUCGGAUGGUUAUCUUAAAAGUGAUGCAUUGACAUCACAUGAAAGUCCUGCCCACCAUGUCAAAGACUCUUCGUGCUUAAGCGCAGAAAAGCUCAUGUUAUUGUGAGAAAUCUCCAUAAGAGAUUUUUUUAUGUCUUCUGGGCUAUUUAAAGCCGUCAGUCUGAAACUUAUUUGACAGUUUCUUUUAUACUAACCAAUACUUUCUUAUUUCUUCUUUAAAUCUGCACAGAAGAGUCAACCCAUUCCUGUAAAAGGAGAAGCUCCGAGAAUUGCGUGCUCGGGCUUCAACAGGAGGUAAGAAACACGUUUAACUUAUGAUGACAGUAAAAUGCAAACUCAAAUUUAUAGGGG